GUGAAAUAGACAAUUAAAUUAUCUGAAGAAAAAAGAUUAAAAUACAAGUCCAUUUAUGGGAGAGGAGUUGGAAUCCACUGCUUUAAUGAACACAGCUGUAGAACACUCAAAAUGUAUGUUAGUACUCUAAAUUGCAUCCCAAUGGAAGGAUAUGAUGCUUGCAAUAUCUUCUCUGGGGUGCCUUACAUUGUAAUUUAGGUGAAUUUUUGCAUCUCACAUAAACAAGGACUCCUUCUGAGAAUGAAAAACAGAACAGUAAUCAUGGGCGCUACUAUAAAAUGACACUGUCAAUUAAUCAAACCGCUUGUAAAUAGACAGGGACCUGAUAAAUUAGAGAAACCACGUGGGCUCUCAAGGGUUUGGUCCUUGGUGAGGUGUGCACCCUUUGACCAGCAGAGGGCGCUGCGGGACAGCCCUGCAAUUCCCACAUGGCCGCUCAGUGAGAACCAUUCACUCAAAAGGAGCCUAAGAAAGGGGAGUGAGCCUUGUGCGGAUGAGGACUCCGCAUCUGUGUCCUCUCUGGCCUGGUAGAAUCCCCAAAGCAGGGACCUGUGGGUGGUCUCAGCAGGUGUUUCCUCCCAGGGCUCUCCCCAGGGGAUGAAGCCAACAGCCCUUCUCUUCAGUGUGUGGUGUGAGCUGAGCUCCAGCACCAGGGCUCAGAGAGGGGCUGGGCAGUCACCGGAUGGACCCCAUUUGCAUGGACAGCCCCUUCUGUGGCAAAUGGUAGAGGAUAAAAGGAAGCCUGGGGCAGCCCAGUGCACUGUGGGGACCAGAGUCUGUGUCACUAUGGCCUGGACUCUUGUUCUCCUCAUGUUCCUGUCUCACUGCACAGGUUCCAUCUCCCAGCUCUUGGUGACCCAGCCUCCCUUCCUCUCUGCAUAUCUGGGAACAACAGCCAGACUCACCUGCACCCUGAGCGGUGACAUCAGUGUUGAUAUUUACCCCAUAUUCUGGUACCAGCAGAAGCCAGGGAGCCCUCCUCAUUAUCUCCUUACCUAUGUAACAGACUCAAACAAGCACCAGGGCUCCGGGGUCCCGAGCCGCUUCUCUGGAUCCAAAGAUGCCUCGGCCAGUGCAGGGAUUCUGCUCAUCUCUGGAUUCCAGGCAGAGGAUGAGGCUGAUUAUUACUGUCAGUCAUUUGAUGUUAGUGAUGGACACAGUGAUACGGGUAGAUGAGGAAGUUGGACAAAAAC